rnacentral:rRNA from 1 species
CCUACGGGUGGCUGCAGUGGGGAAUAUUGGACAAUGGGCGAAAGCCUGAUCCAGCCAUGCCGCGUGUGUGAAGAAGGCCUUCGGGUUGUAAAGCACUUUCAGUGGGGAAGAAAGCCUUGGGGCUAAUACCCUCGAGGAAGGACAUCACCCACAGAAGAAGCACCGGCUAACUCCGUGCCAGCAGCCGCGGUAAUACGGAGGGUGCGAGCGUUAAUCGGAAUUACUGGGCGUAAAGCGCGCGUAGGCGGUCUGAUAAGCCGGUUGUGAAAGCCCCGGGCUCAACCUGGGAACGGCAUCCGGAACUGUCAGGCUAGAGGGCAGGAGAGGAAGGUAGAAUUCCCGGUGUAGCGGUGAAAUGCGUAGAGAUCGGGAGGAAUACCAGUGGCGAAGGCGGCCUUCUGGACUGACACUGACGCUGAGGUGCGAAAGCGUGGGUAGCAAACAGGAUUAGAUACCCGGGUAGUC